CUUCGUUGGCUGCCUCCCAAUUUAGAGCGGCAAAUCCCGUCGCUUCUCCUCUUGCUUCGAGUUGAGGUAUCCAUCAGUGGGCUUCUUUGCCCUACCAAUCCUCGGAAACGAAAGAGUCGGAGCCUCUUCUGCGUCCCAUGACCUAAAUCAUUGCCUUCAAGACCCAUGAGAAGAAGCUCCACUUUGAUGAACUGAGGAGAAGAGGAUCGAUUCUGGCACUGUGAUGCUGUGGCUUUUCGAUAUGGGUAAUCUAAAUGAGGCCAUUGGGUUAAUGCGUGAAUUAAAAAGUUCCAGCUUUGAUUGCCAAGUCCAUUGCUCUGUGUCCAAAUCUAUAGCUUUUUUGAGAUCAAAGCUUAUAUUCAUGUUGGUUUGAUAUGGUAGAAGGUGGAAAGCUGUUUGAUGAGUUUGCUUCGGAAGGGAGACUGUUUCUGUGAAAUCUAUCGUUGAUAGAAGGUAGGAGAAUCUCACUGUUGCCAAUGCGUUCGUGUACAUGUAUGCAAAAUGUGGGAGUAUGCCAGGAGCUUGGAAAGUGUUUGUUGAAAUGGGAAGAAGGAUAUCAUCUCAUUCAAUACAUUGAUUGGAGGUUAUUCAGAAAGUGAUAUGCCCAGUGAAGCACACAUGACGUUUGUUUAAAUGCAGCUUUGAUUGAGACCUGAUUUGGUGACCAUUUUGUGCAUCCUUCCUGCUGUGGCCAUGCCUAAGUAUUACAGUCAGGUAAGUUAGUAAAUGGUUAUGUUAGCAGAUACGUAUGUGUUAGAUCGUGAUAUCGGUGUCUUUUCCUGGGUGGAAGGUGCGCUCAACCCAGUCCAUGGUCCGAUUCUCAGCACGGCGUUGGUCCUGGACGAUUGAUGAUGAAGACCCUCAAGGCUGAACCACCUUCAUUCCUACAAUAGGACCUUCCUUGGUACAAGGUUCCACGUUCAAGUUAGGAAAUCUGAGUAUGUGUAGUUGUGAGAUAGAAGAACCCAUGCGCUAUAGCAACAGGCCCUUUUGUAGUCGGGGUCCCUGACUUGCAGUUAGGGAAAAUAUUCUCCCGAUCAUAAAAUAUUUGAGUAUUUCCAUUCCGAUUUUUGAUGUGGUUUAUCAUUGUCUUUUCUACCAAGCUGAUGUCCACUCGAGAAGUUCUGAUUGAGGACCAAUAUGUCCUCUAUCAGUAUGUCAAAUGCUGUCCAUUAUUGAUUGUGGUGAAUGUUGUAUGAUAGGAUCAACAAAAUUUUAUAUUGCUCGCAUGAAAUCUAUGUGACAUAUAGCCACGUUAUUGCUUGCAUGAGUGUUGUGUAUUUGAUGGGGUCAGCAAAAGUAUAUAUUGCUUGCACCACCUUAGUUCUGUAUUCUGAUCAUUCCACACAGUUCUUUGACUCAAAGCAUUCUCCUGGCUGUCAAUCCGCUGACAUGUGGGCAAACCCCUCCAUGAUACCAACCAUCCAGUUACUUGGAUGGUGGUGACACGAAAGCUGUAAUUUCUGCUUGUGUUUCUACAGCUCAAGCAAUUUGGAUUUGAAUCUGAAGAUGUUAUUGCUCGGAAAUGCUUAGAGAUUCUUCUGAUACUGCCAUCAGAGAUGCAGAUUGCCAUGAUCCCUUAUAGUGUCUGGAUUUGCUGAAUCCGAAUCACAAAGAAGUGCUAUGUAAAAGAUUUGGUGGCCCAAGAAAUGUAUCAACACUUAUGAGGAACAAUCCAAUUGUGUUCCCUCAUGAUUGAAGGCUUAGAUAGAUGGAAGGAAUGGAUCAUCAAAUCGGUGUUUGGCCCAUGCAACUGCCAUCUUGUCUUGAAGAAAAAGGUUAAUCUGCUACUUUGAUGAUGCUGGUAAAUUUGGUGGGAGUAUAGCUCCAUCAAGUGCAAUAGGAAACAUGAGACUAGAUGUUUCCAGGAAAAAGAAGCUUGUAACAGAUUUACAUGUAGAAUUGGACACCUUUGUGGGUUUUUGUUUAUCAAAGUGAACAAUUUGUAUCAACACUUGUUUUUUCUUAAAUAUAUCCUGUGUUUUAGUGCUAAUUA